rnacentral:ncRNA from 2 species
GCCCAUUGCCAAAUCGAUGGUGCUGCGUGCGGGGUGACCCUGGAGGCGGCUUAACAGGGAACACGGUGAGGACGCCCCAUCAGGAGCCGAAACCUUGGCUGCCCCCGCAACUGUAAGCGAAGAGUGCAUCCACCCGCGAUCCAGGAGACCUGCUAUCGAACAUGAUCAACC